rnacentral:lncRNA from 1 species
AACGACAUUUUGCCCAUUUUGUUCAACAGAUUCUAAAUCCAUAUUGCAGGGAAGCCGUUAUGGUCUCUAACCCUGUUAACUCUUCAUCCUUGAUGUCUUCCCCAAGGUGACAUUCCUUUCUAGUUUUCUUCUGACUCCUCUGCUGCUUUAGGGCAGCCUCCACUUGGGGGCUCCUUCUUUUGCCUGUCCCCUGAAUGUGGGUGUUUCCCAGCGCUCUGACCUGACCCCAUCCGUCUCUCGCUUUCCACACUCCUGCUGGGUAAACUCACCCUCUCUCAUAGCCUUUUUACCUUCUGUGGGUUGGCGAGGCUCACAUUUCAAUGAGGUCUGCAUCUCCGCCUUCAGCUCAGACCCUUUUCCCAGUCUCAGACCACCAUGUCCAGAAGUCUGGACACCAAAUUGAGUCCAUCCUCCUGCCAAAACAAGCUGUUUCCUGGAUUCCCAUUAAUCCACACAACAAUAGAGAUCUACUCAUAUUUAUUAGAUACCAAUUUUUAUGUAAGAAAAAAAUGUAAGAUUCUGGAACAAGCCAAAGAAAUUACUGCUACAUGAAAAAGAUGGACAAUAACAAGUGUUGGUAAGGAUGUGGAGAAACUGGAACCCUCCUACACUGUGGGUGGGAAUGUAAAACAGUGAAGCCCUGGCCCACCCAGAACCAGAAUAAACGCCGUAGAGGAUUUUUCCCCUUUUCCCCCCACUUCAAGAGAUGGGCUCUUGAGCACAGUAGAAUGAUCAGAGCUCACUGCAGCCUUGAGCUCCUGGGUUCAAGCCUCAGCCUCCGAAAUAGCUGGAACUACAGGCAUGCACCACCACACCCAGCAGAGGAUGUUGAACUGAUGGCCCAAGGUGGAGAGGGAGUGAAAGUGCAGGUGCUUUGAUGGAUGAGGGAUGGAGUGGCUUCCCUCCGGGAAUGAAGGUGUGCAGAAAGGGCCACGCGCCUGCGGGCUGGGUUGCAGGGCCUCUGAGGGAUGGGCUCAGAUGUGGAAGCUAUAGGAAUGCCUGGGCAAACUGGGCAGAAAUACCACAACCUGGGCAGGCUUUGGGAGGUCCCCAGCCAAGCCCUAGGGAGAGGGAGAGGGGCUGCCAGCCCCCCGGCUUGGGCUCAGGGAAGCCAUAGUGAUUCUUCUCAGGAUGGCCUGAACCUCCUGGAAUUGUGAUAAGCCCCAAAGACAGGAUGAGGCUCCAGGAAAAUGACUAAUAUCAGAUUUCCUGUCAACCGUGGCAACGAGAGAAGGGGGCUCCCAGUCUAUUUAAUUAGAUUUACCAAAAUAAAGACGUGGCAUUUCUUACACCUGAGUGCCAUGCUGUGAUGCAUAGACUGAAUUACAAAUUGUGAGAUGGGUGAGGUAAGAGGGGGUGGCCAUAGAGAUAGUGAAAAGUGGGCAAAUUUGCUAUUUAGCAGGAAGGCCAGGCAGGUCUUACUGAUAGUUUGGAAGCUGAGGGUCGGAGACUGGUACUGAAAAGGAUUUCCCGGUUUCUGGCUGAGAACUGGGUCAACCCGAGUGCAUUCCCACCCACUUCCUCUAGACCAUCCAUCCACUCAGCGGCACAGACUCCCGAAAGUGUCGCUCCAGUCCGAGUUGGCUCCUGUCCCUUGUCCACAUAGACCGUCUCCCCGCUCCCCCAAUAUGGCACAAGGUGCCUAGGCCGUGUGGGGCGUCGGCAGGUAUCACGGGUGGGGUCCAUUGUGUGAGGACUAACAUCGCGGCCUUUCCCCAGACCAGCCACCGGGGACUCCAGAGAGGCCUCGGCCCAGCUCCCGGAAAGGGUCUCCCAGCCAGGCCUUCUAGCGGCCCAAAGCGGAUGGAAACUUGACCCAGAAUGGACAAGUGAUUCUCCAGGUCCAGGACUAAAACAUGGGCCUCUCAACAUCUCAGCAGGCAGGUGGAAGAGAUGGAGCAAACUCACUUGGAGCAAAGAUGGGCAGGAGGGGAACAGCGAAGCCCAGGCCAACGGCACCACAGGGCCCCUGGCAGAACAUGGACAGAGACAGUGUGAUUCCAGGGCUCUGUUCCCUUGCUGCUGCCUCCAUGGGCCCCGUACAUGUGCUCAUGAUUCUUAGACACAAACAAAGCUCCCAACACAGUGAUGGAAAUGCAGCUGCCAAGGGGGAUUGCCAAGGAAACCAUCUUUGAAAGGCUCAUUAUUCUUAUGAAGAAUCUGCAGGAGACAGGAGUUCUCAAAACAACUCUCGCUCCGCCUCUAUCCUCAACCGGACUCUGUGGGAGUGUCUCUUUUAGUAAUUAUCCUGUUCUUUGGUAAUUAUCUGCCUCUCCUGCUA